UAGGGAAUCUUCCGCAAUGGGCGAAAGCUUGACGGAGCAACGCCGCGUGAGUGAUGAAGGUCUUCGGAUCGUAAAACUCUGUUAUUAGGGAAGAACAAAUGUGUAAGUAACUAUGCACGUCUUGACGGUGCCUAAUCAGAAAGCCACGGCUAACUACGUGCCAGCAGCCGCGGUAAUACGUAGGUGGCAAGCGUUAUCCGGAAUUAUUGGGCGUAAAGCGCGCGUAGGCGGUUUUUUAAGUCUGAUGUGAAAGCCCACGGCUCAACCGUGGAGGGUCAUUGGAAACUGGAAAACUUGAGUGCAGAAGAGGAAAGUGGAAUUCCAUGUGUAGCGGUGAAAUGCGCAGAGAUAUGGAGGAACACCAGUGGCGAAGGCGACUUUCUGGUCUGUAACUGACGCUGAUGUGCGAAAGCGUGGGGAUCAAACAGG
rnacentral:rRNA from 1 species